rfam:Erinaceus europaeus unplaced genomic scaffold scaffold00189, whole genome shotgun sequence
GUGGUUGCUUAAGCAACACAUAUACUAAAAUUGGAAUGAUACAGUGAAGAUGAACAUGGCCCCUGCACAAGGAUGUCAUAAGAAUUUGUGAAAUGUUUCAUAUUUUA